rnacentral:tRNA from 1 species
GGUGGCUCAGUGGUAGAGUGCUUGCCUCGCAUGCAUGAGGUCCUGGGUUCGAUUCCUUAGCACCA